UUCAUAUGGACCAUGAAUGUGACUUUCAUCACUUCAAACUUGCGCGCUCAGCCAGUAUCAUCGGGAGAGUUAAACCCUCGCUGCCAGACGGCGAGGGUUUUCUUUUGGA
rnacentral:sRNA from 1 species